rnacentral:rRNA from 1 species
AGUGAACGCUGGCGGUAGGCCUAACACAUGCAAGUCGAACGGCAGCACAGUAAGAGCUUGCUCUUACGGGUGGCGAGUGGCGGACGGGUGAGGAAUACAUCGGAAUCUACUUUUUCGUGGGGGAUAACGUAGGGAAACUUACGCUAAUACCGCAUACGACCUACGGGUGAAAGCAGGGGAUCUUCGGACCUUGCGCGAUUGAAUGAGCCGAUGUCGGAUUAGCUAGUUGGCGGGGUAAAGGCCCACCAAGGCGACGAUCCGUAGCUGGUCUGAGAGGAUGAUCAGCCACACUGGAACUGAGACACGGUCCAGACUCCUACGGGAGGCAGCAGUGGGGAAUAUUGCACAAUGGGCGAAAGCCUGAUCCAGCCAUACCGCGUGAGUGAAGAAGGCCUUCGGGUUGUAAAGCCCUUUUGUUGGGAAAGAAAAGCAGCAGGUUAAUACCCCGCUGUUCUGACGGUACCCAAAGAAUAAGCACCGGCUAACUUCGUG